GCUUGUCUCAAAGAUUAAGCCAUGCAUGUCUAAGUAUAAAUCUUUUACUUUGAAACUGCGAACGGCUCAUUAUAUCAGUUAUAGUUUAUUUGAUAGUCCCUUACUACUUGGAUAACCGUAGUAAUUCUAGAGCUAAUACAUGCGUCAAUACCCUUCUGGGGUAGUAUUUAUUAGAUUGAAACCAACCGCUUCGGCGUGAUGUGGUGAUUCAUAAUAAAUUUGCGAAUCGCAUGGCUUCACGCCGGCGAUGGUUCAUUCAAAUUUCUGCCCUAUCAGCUUUCGAUGGUAGGAUCGAGGCCUACCAUGGCGUUUACGGGUAACGGAGAAUUAGGGUUCGAUUCCGGAGAGGGAGCCUGAGAGAUGGCUACCACAUCCAAGGAAGGCAGCAGG
rnacentral:rRNA from 1 species